rnacentral:lncRNA from 1 species
AGCUCAGCCAUGGGCGCGGGACAGCGGCAAAAGGAGCGCGUCUCCGGAGUCCGGUCGCAGCUGCUUGAGUAGCUCAGGCGGACAGCGGGGAGCCGGGCCGCCGGGGAGGACGCCUGCGCCAGACGGCAGACGGCCGGGAACAGAACAGCACCGAGGCAAGGGGCUAUCUACAAAUAAUCGCGAUCCAAAAGUACGGUGCUUUUUGUAACAUAUUGGGACCUCUAUGCAGAUACUCGGAUCGCGAUUAAAUAAUCGCGAUCCAAAUUAGGGAUCUUUAUGUAAAUUAUUAGGGGCUUAAUUGUAAAUAUUUGGAUCGCGAUUAGUAAUCGCGAUCCCAAGUAUGGGGUAUUUUGCAAAAAUUGCCGCUUCACGCCCUGCAGCAUGUCUGCAGGUGAGGCCACGCCGUCGCCGGCGCUGGCAACCGCAGUCAGCCGGGCCGCCAGGAAUCCCACGCGCCUCCUUCCAGCAGCGGCGCCGGUCCCCGGCACGCCCCUACAUCGGGUCCAGCCCGGCUACGGCGCGCCGGAGCGGCGCCGAACUCAUGCCGUCCAUGGCGUCCUCCCCCUUCCUCGUAGGCACCCUUGCAUCUGACCGGCGCUGGCGUGAUGAAUGGCCUUGGCCUGGAGCCAUGGAGGUGAAGGGGACCGACGGUGGGUGCUGGCCGAGCACGGCUGGACGGCAUGUGUGGCAGACGCGGAGCGCGCACAAAGCUCUAGCGACCCGUCGGCGGUCACUCGAUCUCGAGCCCUGCCGGAUAGAGCCGCCGACGUCUGACCAUCGCUAGCCCUCAUCCCUGCUCUUCCUCUUGGAGUCGCCGCCGCGCGCGCGACGCAGCUCUGACCCGGGCUGUUCAGUUCAAUUCCUCCCUGCCGUUUAUCAGUUCUUCCUUACGAUCGACUGACGACUGUUUUCUCUGCAAGCAAGACAGGUCCAAUCAAACAGAUCACCAACCACAUCAAAUCGUCAGAGUGAAGCAAGGAAUCUCUUCCUCUUACAACCUUUAACCCCUGUCGCCUCCUCCAUGAGGCGGCUCUUCCGCAGCUCCACCUCGCUCUUUCAAGAGACCACUGGUGAAUGGUGAUUGCACGUGCAUGUCCUAAUCAUGCUUGGAAAUUAGACGCAUUUGUGACAUAAUAUAAUCGAUCGGCGAUGCUGUGAGCUCACACAGAUGAGGCGUCUGUCACUAUAUCUCUACAGGGAUGCUGCUAAAGUGCUAAUAAUGCAACCUUUACCGACUGUUCUUGGGCCGUUCUCGCACGCUCUGCAGCCUGCGUCACGCUGUACAGCUAACUGAAUCUACGCUGCACAGUGUUGAGGGAGUGAUCGUU